UUGAUUCAUUUGUUUAUGAUUCCACUCAGACAUGCUAGGUAAGAAAAAUACAAGAGUUUGGGUCCCCCGGCGGGCGCCUGGUUCCGGCGGCUCCUUUCGGGGCCUUCCGGGGCGUUAACCCGCCGAAGCAACGGUAAAGGUAUAAGUUCACAGGGGUUUGGGAGUUGUAAGACUCGGUAAUGAUCCCUCCGCUGGUUCACCAACGGAGA
rnacentral:misc_RNA from 1 species